GUUUUCCUGCAGGGGAACUCUCUUCUGUUCCUGCCCAGUGUUCUGAAGGUGUAUCUGGAGAACGGACAGACCAAGGCCUUCAAGUUUGACACUACCACCACCGUCAAAGACAUCGUUCUGACUCUGAAGGACAAGUUGUCUCUCCGCUGCAUUGAGUACUUUGCUCUGGUGCUGGAACAGCAGUACAGCAUCACCAAGCUACUGCUGCUGCACGAGGACGAGUUCAUACACAAGGCGGUGCAGAAGAAGGAGAACAGCAGCCAUGACUACAGGUGUCUGUUCCGGGUGUGUUUCAUUCCCAGAGACCCCCUGGAGCUGCUACAGGA